rnacentral:misc_RNA from 1 species
UGUUGAUAUUCGUUGUUCCACAGCGAACAUUUUCGAAUGUCGAUUUCACGAUAAAUAACGAAGGUGUACUGUGCGUGUAAACUGUGAAGUGACUUAUUUUCUAGAACGAGGUAAAUAUACGCGUUCGGUGUGCGAGUGGAUAGACCAUUCUGUGUUUACAUACGUUCUAUCGUGUUCGGUGUGUUCAUCUAUGUUCCUGUAGCGGAUUCGUUCUAACCAUGAAGGAGUACGGAAUGAAACUGUCACCGAUGAGGCUGAUCCUGAUUUUCACCAUUUUUUCCACUGCGACCAUCGUGAAAGUGUUGAGACAAGAGCCCCAGUUAAAAGAACAUCUACAACUUCUUUUGGAAAUAGCAUUUAGGAUCACUUUCAACUUCUUUCAAUCAAUCAGCAAAUUAGGAAGAACUAUUGUACAAUAGUUGAAUAUAUUAGACGAACUUUCCAGCGACUUUUCACCACGAACGAAAUUUAAAAAGCAGUUUGAGAGC